AUUAAAACUUUCAACAACGGAUCUCUUGGUUCCGGCAUCGAUGAAAAACGCAGCGAAAUGCGAUAAUUAAUGUGAAUUGCAAAAUUCAGUGAAUCAUCGAGUCUUUGAACGCACAUUGCGCCCCCUGGUAUUCCGGGGGGCAUGCCUGUCCGAGCGU
rnacentral:rRNA from 1 species